CAGAGAAAGCAAGAUAUCUUCUCAAAUUCGAUAAGCAACAGUGAUAAGGAGACACUUAGCUAACGUAGCUGGGCCUACAUUCCUGUUUGUCUCAGUUACAGCUGUGCUGCUUUCCAACCACCAUCUUCACUGACACACACCAGAUGGACCUUGGAAUCAUCAGCGUUCUCAACAGCACUGUCAUUGUCACCUCACCAGCAUGUAGAGCAGUGGCUUAAUUGCAACUCAGGUGAGCAAAUGCCUCUGUUACACAGCUCAUCCAAUUUCUAAGAACUUAGACGGAUGGGAAAUGCUGAGUCUUAGCUAGUUUACGUAAUGAGGGCCGUGACUUUGCAAAUCAUUCUGCAGUGUGCAGCCUACGCAUAGAGUGGUUACGAUCCUGAGCAGAAUCCAUGUGUAAGCAUCAGUGAAGAGAAGGACUAAACAUGGCCUUGGAAAAAUCUCAUGCCUGUUGCACACCCAAUUGCAUCUUCUUAAAAUAAGGUAGCAGAAAGGAGUGAGCGCAACAUCAAGCUCCUGAUGACAUGUUGGCCUCAGGUUGUUUGACUACAUGCGUUUAGAAGGCAAUUUCAAGGGAUUUAAGAUUACAAUCUGAACUACUCGAGAAAUGAAACCUUCUGUGAAGUUGCUGAAAAUCCCAGUGCUUGUGGGAAAGAAGGGGUGAAAGCUCUCUUGAAAGCUGUAUGUCAGUACAAAAUUGUCCUACACAACAGCCUGCAAAUAAAUAUACUUCAGUUGGCUUCCAAAGUUGCAUCCUUCCCUCUGAGAAGUCUCUGCUGUACCUGUGACACCCACCAGCAGCAAAAGACACUGGAAAAUGGAACAUAUUUUGGCAUUUUACAGGGGCAGAGACUGGUACAGAUCUGUGUUUAUCGUAUGGUUCAGAAUUAUGAAGAGAAGGAUUAAAGUUAUUUGCUGCUUUGAAAAAAGAAAAUAUAUCAUUGCCUUUCGUGAGAAGAUAUCAGAUUAAUUUCACUUAUUAU
rnacentral:lncRNA from 1 species